UCUGGCACCUUCGGUGUCCGAGUUGUAAUUUGAAGAAGGUAACUUUGGAGUUGGCUCUUGUCUAUGUUCCUUGGAACAGGACGUCACAGAGGGUGAGAAUCCCGUGCGAUGAGAUGCCCAAUUCUAUGUAAAGUGCUUUCGAAGAGUCGAGUUGUUUGGGAAUGCAGCUCUAAGUGGGUGGUAAAUUCCAUCUAAAGCUAAAUAUUGGCGAGAGACCGAUAGCGAACAAGUACAGUGAUGGAAAGAUGAAAAGAACUUUGAAAAGAGAGUGAAAAAGUACGUGAAAUUGUUGAAAGGGAAGGGCUUGAGAUCAGACUUGGUAUUUUGCGAUCCUUUCCUUCUUGGUUGGGUUCCUCGCAGCUUACUGGGCCAGCAUCGGUUUGGAUGGUAGGAUAAUGACUAAGGAAUGUGGCUCUACUUCGGUGGAGUGUUAUAGCCUUGGUUGAUACUGCCUGUCUAGACCGAGGACUGCGUCUUUGACUAGGAUGCUGGCAUAAUGAUCUUAAGCCAC
rnacentral:rRNA from 1 species